rnacentral:piRNA from 1 species
UGGUUGGGAAGGAGGGUGGUCGUGGUUGC